UGCAGACCGAUUAGAUUGGAUCUUGAUUCUAUAUAUAUUAUUCUAUAGGAUGACCCCAAAAAAUUUAGAGGAUAUAACUUCUACCAUGCUAAAGAACAAGAGUUGUUCAGCAUUUCUUUUAGAAAAGGAGUACCUUGAUGAAGGUACUGAUGCAUUUAAUAUGAAACUUAUGAAGUUUGACAGAUAGAAGAACUAACAUAAUCUAGUAAACCCAUAGAAUGAGAUUUGAUUAGAUCAAACUCGAAACCCAUGGUAAAAGCACCAUCAAGG
rnacentral:lncRNA from 1 species